AUUGAACGCUGGCGGCAGGCCUAACACAUGCAAGUCGAGCGGCAGCGGGAAAGUAGCUUGCUACUUUUGCCGGCGAGCGGCGGACGGGUGAGUAAUGCCUGGGAAAUUGCCCAGUCGAGGGGGAUAACAGUUGGAAACGACUGCUAAUACCGCAUACGCCCUACGGGGGAAAGCAGGGGACCUGCGGGCCUUGCGCGAUUGGAUAUGCCCAGGUGGGAUUAGCUAGUUGGUAAGGUAAUGGCUCACCAAGGCGACGAUCCCUAGCUGGUCGGAGAGGAGGAUCAGCCACACUGGAACGGAGGCACGGUGCAGGCUCCUACGGGAGGCAGGAGGGGGGAAUAUUGCACAAUGGGGGAAACCCUGAUGCAGCCAUGCCGCGUGUGUGAAGAAGGCCUUCGGGUUGUAAAGCACUUUCAGCGAGGAGGAAAGGUUGAUGCCUAAUACGUAUCAACUGUGACGUUACUCGCAGAAGAAGCACCGGCUAACUCCGUGCCAGCAGCCGCCGUAACAC
rnacentral:rRNA from 1 species